rnacentral:tRNA from 1 species
GCGGCAAUAGCUCAGUUGGUAGAGCAGCGGCUUCCCAAGCCGCAGGUCACGGGUUCGAGCCCCGCUUGCCGCU